rnacentral:rRNA from 1 species
GGACGGGGCCCGCACAAGCGGUGGAGCAUGUGGUUUAAUUCGACGCAACGCGAAGAACCUUACCAGGGCUUGACAUCCCCUGACCGCGUAUGAAAGUACGUUUUCACCCUCGGGUGACAGGGAGACAGGUGGUGCAUGGUUGUCGUCAGCUCGUGUCGUGAGAUGUUGGGUUAAGUCCCGCAACGAGCGCAACCCCUACGUUUAGUUGCUAACGCGUGAAGGCGAGCACUCUAGACGAACUGCCGUUGACAAAACGGAGGAAGGUGGGAUGACGUCAAAUCAUCAUGCCCCUUAUGUUCUGGGCUACACACGUGCUACAAUGGCCGGUACAGACGGACGCAAAGCCGCGAGGUGGAGCAAAUCCUAAAAAGCCGGUCUCAGUUCGGAUUGCAGGCUGCAAUUCGCCUGCAUGAAGUCGGAAUCGCUAGUAAUCGCAGGUCAGCAUACUGCGGUGAAUACGUUCCCGGGCCUU